rnacentral:ncRNA from 1 species
CCCCGGCGAGGGGAGUGAAAUAGAACCUGAAACCGUGUACGUACAAGCAGUGGGAGCACCUUCGUGGUGUGACUGCGUACCUUUUGUAUAAUGGGUCAGCGACUUAUAUUUUGUAGCAAGGUUAACCGUAUAGGGGAGCCGUAGGGAAACCGAGUCUUAACUGGGCGAUUAGUUGCAAGGUAUAGACCCGAAACCCGGUGAUCUAGCCAUGGGCAGGUUGAAGGUUGGGUAACACUAACUGGAGGACCGAACCGACUAAUGUUGAAAAAUUAGCGGAUGACUUGUGGCUGGGGGUGAAAGGCCAAUCAAACCGGGAGAUAGCUGGUUCUCCCCGAAAGCUAUUUAGGUAGCGCCUCGUGAACUCAUCUUCGGGGGUAGAGCACUGUUUCGGCUAGGGGGCCAUCCCGGCUUACCAAACCGAUGCAAACUCCGAAUACCGAAGAAUGUUAUCACGGGAGACACACGGCGGGUGCUAACGUCCGUCGUGAAGAGGGAAACAACCCAGACCGCCAGCUAAGGUCCCAAAGUCAUGGUUAAGUGGGAAACGAUGUGGGAAGGCAUAGACAGCCAGGAUGUUGGCUUAGAAGCAGCCAUCAUUUAAAGAAAGCGUAAUAGCUCACUGGUCGAGUCGGCCUGCGCGGAAGAUGUAACGGGGCUAAACCAUGCACCGAAGCUGCGGCAGCGACGCUUAGGCGUUGUUGGGUAGGGGAGCGUUCUGUAAGCCGUUGAAGGUGGCCUGUGAGGGUUGCUGGAGGUAUCAGAAGUGCGAAUGCUGACAUAAGUAACGAUAAAGCGGGUGAAAAGCCCGCUCGCCGGAAGACCAAGGGUUCCUGUCCAACGUUAAUCGGGGCAGGGUGAGUCGACCCCUAAGGCGAGGCUGAA